AUAAUAAAUUAAGCUUGGAUUGAAGAUCUCUUGAUUCUUAUUCCAAUACCAGAUUUGAAUUACGCAAUUUCUAACAACUUACUGUGGCAGUUUUGCACCGAUCCAUACAGCUAUGGGUAACGUUACCUCCAUCCAACGAAACUACACUUCCAGAGUUACGCUUACACACAGGUGUUGGAGCAUGCUAGAUAGUUAAUUAGCACAGGUGGUCGCCUCUUGUCUUCCGUCAGUUUUCCGUAAACAAGCGUUGUAACGUGGAGAGAUGGUCAUGUGGGAACAUUAACCUGAACCAUGUCAAGAUGUGUAUCAAUUUAACCUUUUGUUUUUUGAAAAUGAAGGUCCUAAUGUUUCCAAACCCGUACCGCAAACGAAGCGUGUUAAUUGAGCGUCGGGGCUCUUAACAAAACUCCACCCGACAGAAGACGCCUUCGUCCAAUGACUCUUAUGUGUAAUGUAAUGGAACUGAGCGUCAUGAUCAAGGGCUACCAUCAGUUUAUCUUUUAUAUUGUAGUGCUACAGUUGUGACCAGCAUUAUGAAAAUGUCAGACCAAAUGUUUUGCUUGAGGGCUGGGAGAUAAGAAUGUAUUCCCCCUGUAACGUGGAGGCAGCCAAUAGGUCUAUAGUUGGAAAGCUAUACUGUACAGCCUAUAGCGGUCUACAGAAAGAUACAAGUUGAAAAUAUAGGAAUAUGAUUGGUGACAUUGAUUGUUUUUAAUUCUGUCUUGUUGCAGUGGAGGCUCCUUUACCUGUUGCUAUCCUGGAGCCAUACACAGCCCUACUGCUAUCCAAUGACCUGGAGGUACAGAGGACCACCUCUCUGUCGCUGGUUCAUUUGCUAGUGAAGAACAAAGACUCAAACAGAGAAGCUAUCGUGUCAGCUGAUUGGGUGAUUCCACUACUGGUUUUAGCCAAGUGUUACGAUCCUCAAGUCCAAAAGAAUGCAGUUUGGGACCAUUUAAACCUCAAACAGUCUGUUGUGACCCAGGAGCAGCCGAUGUACCUGGACUGUGUGUUGCCUCUGAAAGCUUUGCUGAACUCCCCUGCUCUCCCUCUGGCUGCAUCUGCUAUAACACUACUGUCUGAGCUAUCUACACACCAACCCAAUAGAGAGAGCCUGGUGAAUGAGAGCCUAGUACAGGUGAUAAGGCAGCUGCUCCUCUGUCACAGAUCUGUCACAGAUCUAGCUCCAUCAUCAUGAACCACAGUGUUGGUACCAUCACCAACCUCAGCAGCACCAGCGAGGGACAGCAGGCCUUGAUGGACAGUGAGUGUGUAACAGGACUUCUCGAGGCCCUUGUGUCCAGUGUGACCUCAGAGGAGACUGUUCUGUGUUACUUCCUGUUUAUAUCAGCUGACCAGCUGGGGUGAAAGGAUUGGGGUCAAUAUCAUUUCAAUUCAGCAAGUAAAUUGAAAUUCCAAUUCCUCUUUUCUUUUCAGACUCACUUCGAUCUCAUUUGGCCACAAAAAUGACCCCGGAACAUGUUUCAAGUUUGUUUAAGUUUUCUGCACAAAUGGAAAAUGCAGAGCUGUAAAAUCCAUGUAUUUUUCUUGUCGCUCAUAUAUCAUACAGACCAUGUAAUCCAACUACUGACACCACACUACGCUGCCAUCUCAGAAUAUCUACUGAUGUACCUCAAGAAUCAGGAAGUGAGAUUCCAGCAGCUGGGAUUUGUUACUCUAUGCAACCUCAAGAAAGACGGAGAGUUGUCAGUGGUGAUGAGUGGUAGUGUGCUCGACAAGCAGCUAAAGCGGGUGCAUGCACAGACGGAGCAGACAAGACAGUUACUGCAGAUGAUUCAGAAGCCUCCAUCCUCCUGACCAGUCCACUGGAGCCCUGCCUCAGGACACAGACUGAGACCUCUCUGCCUCAGGACACAGACUGAGACCUCUCUGCCUCAGGACACAGACUGAGAGCUCUCUGCCUCAGGACACAGACUGAGACCUCUCUGCCUCAGGACACAGACUGGGAUGUGGGACAUGCGUAUCACUGUUUGUACUGACUUGCCAUUACCUUUAGAACAUGACAAUGAUUGCUACUGCAUGUCAUGAUUAUGUUUUAUGAUGUUGAUGAGGUGUUCUAUUUUAUGAGGGUUUACAUCCAUAUUGCACUGGUGAACAGGGGAAAAGGAACUGAAUUGGGGUGUAUUAUAUAUUCUACACAGAUUCAAACAGAUGUAUCAGUGCAUUGCUUUAUUUGUUUUUACACUUUUGUACGUUUUAAUAAACAGGCUUACAUUUUA